AUUGCCUCUGUUCUCGCCACGAAAGCGGCGAUCGGCGCCGCCAAGAUUGGGGGAGGCCGCCCCGCCGACCGAGUUCGGAUCGACCAAAUCAAUCAGCCCUGCGAAUAGUCUGCUCUCUUCUCCCCCAGAUUACAACGUUCGGCGACGGAAGAUUGGAGGAGGCCGCCCCACCGGCCGGGCUCGGAUCCACCGCAUCAACCCGCCCCGGGAGCACCCGGGUCUCUUUCCCCCGGAUUGCAACAACCGACCAUGACUAUCGGUUCAGUUUAAAUACACAUGCAUAACCUGGGAUUGUAGACGAUAUGCUCACUGACUAUAGAGAGAUUCGAACCAAGGCAAGAUGAACUUUGAGAUUGAAAGGGAUGACAAGGUUCGGAAUGAUGUACGCACAAAAGUAAUCCAGAAGGGUGUUCGACAAUAAUGCUGCAACUAAAGAAGGAUUACUUCAAUGGUUAUACUGCUGAAGAAGUGUUAUCCAAUAAGCCACCUAAUAGUACUUACGAGAAUUGGAUCAAGCACCUUCUUUUCCAGCAUGGGGUAUGCACCAAGAUACUGUAGUUCUGGGAGCUCUCCUUCAUCAGCACAGAUCCGUGUUGUAGAAGAGAUAAUGGAACAAAAUCAUAGAGGCAUCGAGAGGAGUUAGGUGCAAGACUUGAAUCACAAGAUAGAGAAUUUGAAGAAAUUCACAGGGAGCAUCAAGAAGAAGCGAAAGGAGACAUAUAACCUAAUUGGCCUUCUCUUAAGGGCUCAAUCAACACCCAACAGUCCCAACCCAAACCUGACGAGUCCUGGUCCAAACCUGAUGGUGCAUGAAGGCCAUACUGUUGUGAUGGAAAGAUAGUUGGAAUCCCAAGACAACGCAUGUGGUCCUUUAGUUAUCUAUAAAUAUUAGUUGUCUAUUUAAAAGAUGAUUGAAUAUAUAAUAUGAUUUUCCUCCAUUUCAAUUUAUAAUGUGAUUUGGAUCUUUACUUAUUUAUAUAACAUGAUGUGAAUUAAAUAUUUACUCUCAUAUGCAUUUGCA